rnacentral:rRNA from 1 species
CUGAACCAGCCAAGUAGCGUGAAGGAUGACUGCCCUAUGGGUUGUAAACUUCUUUUAUAUGGGGAUAAAGUAUUCCACGUGUUGGAUUUUGUAUGUACCAUAAGAAUAAGGAUCGGCUAACUCCCUGCCAGCAGCCGCGGUAAUACGGAGGAUCCGAGCGUUAUCCGGAUUUAUUGGGUUUAAAGGGAGCGUAGGUGGAUUGUUAAGUCAGUUGUGAAAGUUUGCGG